GAGGAUUUAUAACUGGAAUAAACCUAAGAACAAUUACAUACAGAUCACUUUUUGUCGUGUUCAAAAUUACAUCCUUUGGUUACCAGCACAAGCCAGUCAGAAGACAGGUUUCCUUUUUGUAUUGGUUUACUUCAAAUGCAAACAAAGUAAAUGCAAAUGAAAAAGAUUCUUGAGAGCUGUGGAAGAGGGGAACUUUGAAUUCAUUUCAGUCCGUUACUCAAACAAAACUGUAGCUUUAAAAAACAAAGAACAUGCAGCAUGAGUCAUAUAGACCAUUUAUAUCAUUUCGCGUUUAACGUGUGGAAACAAAAGCAACAAAAACAUUUUGCUAAAUAUCUCUAUUUUUGUUCCACGGAAGAAAGAAAGUCAAGGGUGAGUAAAUUAUGACAAUUUUCCUUUAACCACUAGCCCGAAAUUCCCCACAUAUUACAAGAAUCACUCAGAUAAGGUGCUGUCAGUAUACUUGAAUCAAGAGUAGCAAUUUAGAAUACACACAUGUCGUGCAGCUCCCUCGGUCAUCAGAACCACAUCACACACACGGAACUCAGGAACCUCCCACCUCCGGUAACUAUGGUAACCUCCUCUCUGAGUGAUGUCACCCUGAUAUUGCAUCAUAACCCCAUGAGCUAACUGGGUUGCUUUUCUCAAGACCCAUGAAGCACACUGAAUAAAACAGACAGAGUGGGAGAAGGGAGCUAUGAUAGUGGAGAAGAUUGAUACUGACUGACCAAGAGGAGAAUCCACAGAUUCUAUUAAUAGCCAUUCAGACUCUUCAGUCACCAGAAAAAAAGCCAUGUGUGUGCAAAGCAACACACACACACAGCUUAUGGAUGAGAGAGCCAGAUGGAGGCAUCCGACUGAUGAGAGAUUGAGAGAGAGAGGGGUACAGAAUGUAUCAUGCGAGAUUCCCCAUAUGACCCUGAGAGUCAACAGAAUCGCUCAUGGGUCCAAGAGGAUUCUGUUAUGGCUUACAUCGACAGUGCUGUCAAACCAGUAAAUAGUCUCAGUGGAUGCGGAAUGAUGUGAAUACAGACCUAAUACUCUUCUCAUAUCCUAUAUAAUAAAGAAGUGCAAUUUCUAA